UCUCCUUACUCCUUGAUACUUAUUGGGUCACUUAGGAUCGUACUGGUUAUAGACUUGUCCCAACCAUGGAAAUUUGUAGCUAAGUGAAUUGCCAUUCCAAAUCCGCCUUGGAAACUGAGUUUGGCUUGGUGGAUAAAAUAUUGUUCCCUACUCUCAAAUUAUGGUAUUCUUUUCGUUAACAGUGUGCCUAUGUUCUUCCGAAGUUUAGAAUUGAGCAAUAUUAGCCAACUUCUCGUCAAUCAUACAAAUCUAGCCGUAUUAUUCCAGCCCAACACUGCCGUAAAUGGCUUUUUUAACUCUUUCUACUAUUGAUGUCAUGUAUGAAGUGCCAUCCAUACAAAUACCAAAUUUUAAUGCCGAAAGUUACCACUGAUUGAGUCUCAGUGCCCGAUAAAAUUUCCAUGUCCCAUUUAAGAAACACCACCGUACUCAUAUAGACUUGAACUAAACUGAUUCUGAUUUAAAACGUAUAGUUGGCACCGAGUUUAAAUAUAUCAUACAGAUUCGUAUGUUCCGGUGAUAGUUAUUCUCGUAUGGGAAACAAGUUACGUCUCCUAAUUUUUACUUUGAAAGGCGAACAUCAUUCUCCUAGUACCUUUUGGACUCGGAUUUGAAAGUAUCUGAAUAAAAAACUAAGCAGUGUGUAAAAAUGCAUGGAUGAUCACUUAUUCUUUGUUCCAUAUACAUCCGCUGACUCCAAUUUACCUUCUCAAGUUCUUUCUGCAAUCUUGGAGUUGCAUCCAUAUCCACAGACAUGAUAGGUAUUCUGCAAGAUACUAAACAAUGUUAGAAGUUCCCUUUAUCUCCAUCUUUGUUCAAUAACAUCAGUUCAAAGCAUAAGUGAAAUUGAGAAUGCCCUUCGUAACCUCAAUGGACGAUUCCAUAUAUGAUAUAGCGCCCGCCUGAAAAGAAAUGCAACAUGUAGAACACCAAAAAUAAAAGGCAACUUGGAACAAUAGCUGGUCUUCCAGUUUCAGUGUAACUCUGAUUAACAAAGUAUCAAUGAAAGAAAUACGCGAUACAAUCCCGUUUUCGUACCAUUUCUUCGAGACAUUGAGAGUUCCCUAUAUAUACUCCAUAAUAAGAUAAUAACGUACAUUCACGCUGAUCAGUUGGAAAAGAUUCACAUAUUCACCCACUGCUAAAUUCUAGCCAUACUAACGCCCUUGGAAUCUCCUCAAAACUCAAGUUGACCAUUUAGAAGGUUGACAGAGUAAGUGAUCCUUCAGACUCUUAAUAACUACGUCUACCUCUUGUUUCCAUCUUUAGGAACACAGGGGCACGACUCCGAUCAGCAAGCACUACAGUUUCUUUCUAUCUUUCACUUUGCCCUCAGUACAAAAGACAGAAGUCAUGACCUACUUUCACCAACACUUCCAUAUCGACAGUGGAGUGUUCAAAAACACCUGAAAGCCUAACGUGUUCUUUU